AUUCCCUAUGAUGGUAAUAACCAUGCUAAUACUGAUGUCUUAUGACUGAAUCAAAGUUAUAUAUGUGUCUGAGGGAAUU
rnacentral:snoRNA from 1 species